UACGUAGGGGCGCAAGCGUUGUCCGGAAUUAUUGGGCGUAAAGAGCUCGUAGGUGGCUUGUCGCCGUCUGCUGUGAAAUCCCGAGGCUCAACCUCGGGUCUGCAGUGGGUACGGGCAGACUAGAGUGUGGUAGGGGAGAUUGGAAUUCCUGGUGUAGCGGUGGAAUGCGCAGAUAUCAGGAGGAACACCGAUGGCGAAGGCAGAUCUCUGGGCCAUUACUGACGCUGGAGGAGCGAAAGCAUGGGGAGCGAACAGG
rnacentral:rRNA from 1 species